UACGUAGGGACCAAGCGUUGUCCGGAAUCAUUGGGCGUAAAGCGCACGUAGGCGGUUCGUUAUGUCGGAUGUGAAAGCCCUUGGCUUAACCGAGGAAGUGCAUCCGAAACUGGCGAGCUAGAGUACGAAAGAGGAUCGCGGAAUUCCCGGUGUAGAGGUGAAAUUCGUAGAUAUCGGGAGGAACACCGGUGGCGAAGGCGGCGAUCUGGGUCGAUACUGACGCUGAGGUGCGAAAGCGUGGGGAGCAAACAGG
rnacentral:rRNA from 1 species